rnacentral:rRNA from 1 species
UUUUGGACAAUGGGGGCAACCCUGAUCCAGCAAUGCCGCGUGAGUGAAGAAGGCCUUCGGGUUGUAAAGCUCUUUUGUCAGGGAAGAAACACCGGCUCUAACACAGUCCGGGAAUGACGGUACCUGAAGAAUAAGCACCGGCUAACUACGUGCCAGCAGCCGCGGUAAUACGUAGGGUGCAAGCGUUAAUUGGAAUUACUGGGCGUAAAGCGUGCGCAGGCGGUUAUACAAGACAGGCGUGAAAUCCCCGGGCUUAACCUGGGAAUGGCGCCUGUGACUGUAUAGCUAGAGUGUGUCAGAGGGGGGUAGAAUUCCACGUGUAGCAGUGAAAUGCGUAGAUAUGUGGAGGAAUACCAAUGGCGAAGGCAGCCCCCUGGGAUAACACUGACGCUCAUGCACGAA